rnacentral:rRNA from 1 species
GGAUGAACGCUGGCGGCGUGCCUAAUACAUGCAAGUCGAGCGAACUGAUUAGAAGCUUGCUUCUAUGACGUUAGCGGCGGACGGGUGAGUAACACGUGGGCAACCUGCCUGUAAGACUGGGAUAACUUCGGGAAACCGAAGCUAAUACCGGAUAGGAUCUUCUCCUUCAUGGGAGAUGAUUGAAAGAUGGUUUCGGCUAUCACUUACAGAUGGGCCCGCGGUGCAUUAGCUAGUUGGUGAGGUAACGGCUCACCAAGGCAACGAUGCAUAGCCGACCUGAGAGGGUGAUCGGCCACACUGGGACUGAGACACGGCCCAGACUCCUACGGGAGGCAGCAGUAGGGAAUCUUCCGCAAUGGACGAAAGUCUGACGGAGCAACGCCGCGUGAGUGAUGAAGGCUUUCGGGUCGUAAAACUCUGUUGUUAGGGAAGAACAAGUACGAGAGUAACUGCUCGUACCUGACGGUACC